rnacentral:rRNA from 1 species
AUUGAACGCUGGCGGCAUGCCUUACACAUGCAAGUCGAACGGUAACAGGUUAAGCUGACGAGUGGCGAACGGGUGAGUAAUGUAUCGGAACGUGCCCAGUCGUGGGGGAUAACUGCUCGAAAGAGCAGCUAAUACCGCAUACGACCUGAGGGUGAAAGCGGGGGAUCGCAAGACCUCGCGCGAUUGGAGCGGCCGAUAUCAGAUUAGGUAGUUGGUGGGGUAAAAGCCCACCAAGCCAACGAUCUGUAGCUGGUCUGAGAGGACGACCAGCCACACUGGGACUGAGACACGGCCCAGACUCCUACGGGAGGCAGCAGUGGGGAAUUUUGGACAAUGGGCGCAAGCCUGAUCCAGCCAUGCCGCGUGCGGGAAGAAGGGCCUUCGGGUUGUAACGCUUUGUCAGGAAGAAAGGUUACUGGCGUAAUACCUGGGACUCAUGACGGUACCUGAAGAAUAAGACACCGGCUAACUACGU